AAGUACCAAAAUGUAUUUUUUUUUCCCAUAGAUCAAUUAUUCUCUUCAAGAUUUCAGUUUAAUUAUCCAAGUGGUUAAGAAUUGGGAGAAACCUUAAAACUAAAAUUAAACCCCAAACAAUAAUUUUCUCUCUCCUCUGAUUUUAUACCCCGUACUGUGCAUGCUCAAUUUAUGUAUUCUGGAGUCGAAAUUUACCCAAACUUAUCACAUGAAAGUUGUAGAUCUCGAAAAGUUAUUGAACUUAGACCCAAAAAUCACUUGAUUUGGAGUUCGGAGCUAUGAGUUAUGGUCUUUUUGUAGAUCACUUCGAGCUAAUGAAUUUGAACACAAAAAUCGCUCAAUUUGGAGUUCGGAGCUAUGAGUUACACCUUACACAAGUUCAGCACUAUUGUUGUACUUUGUGUUGCGCUGCUGCCGUGGUUGGCUUGUUUGCCUUGUUGCUGCCAUUAUUUUGGUAUUACUUUUCAUAUGAAGGUCGUUGUUGGAGUAUGUAUAUGGAGAUAAUUAUGAAGUUCGAGCUAUAGUUGGUUAUCAAAAUGUCGAAUUAUUGGGAAUUGUUUCAAGGUACACACAUGUCCUUCCACCUUUGAAUCUAUAUUCGUGUUUUAUGUGAUUUCAUGUGCUGAGCUUAAUAAGCCUUUUAUAUAAAUACAAAAUUAUUCAAAGUGUUAUUCGUGUGUUUACAAGAGUUGUUAACUACAUAUUUGGUUUUAAGCUAUGAGCGAAAGCUAUAUAUGUGAUGAGUUUUACUGAGUGAUAUUUUUAUGAAGAACUGAUUGGAGGUAGUUGAAUCCUUCAAUAAUAUAGAUGUGUGAUAUUAUUAAACCUACUUGUUUCCACAUCGAAUUUAUAAUAAGUUUCUUAUGCUUAGUAAGUUGAUCUUUUAUAUGAAAGUGUAGCUAUGAGAAUUAAAGCAAGGAUCUUUAGUAUAUCUAACUAUAUAAGUGGUUUUACAACAAGUACUUCGAUUUACGAACUAAGCCAGGACGUCGACUCAAUAUCUUUAUGAACUCGCUUUCGAUUUAAACUAUAGUUAUAUUUGAAAGUUUCAGAGAAAAAGAAAGGAAUUUUGAUCAAGGAUGUUGAGUUAAAAUUUUAGGUUUAAGACAAUUGUGAAAAUAUUUGUGAUAUAAGUUUUAUAUGGAAUUCUGAAAGUAUGAAAAACUCUUUAUUAUGGUUUGAGAUUUUGAUUAUAUAUGAUCAUGAACUUUGAAAAUUAUGACUUGGAGUUAUGAACAAAUAUGGACUCGUGAAAUUAUAAAUCAGAAUU